UUUACGAUAGCAUUAAAUUGUUUUUUACUCGAUCUAAUGGGCUAUUAACAAAGGCCCAAUAUAAUAUAUGUAUAACUUGAGCCCAUUAGAAAGGCCCAAUUUCAAUGUAACCAAAAAAAACCACAGAAAAAUCAAAACACUCAGUCGAAUCACAGUCGUAUCCCUAUUUCUCACCGGCGAUUUCGUACACAAAUUCGGCGUCUCCGCCGCGGAUUCCCGGCGAGAUUUGUUAAUUCAUUCGGUUUCUCAGCUCUUCUUUCACGUACCUUCGGAAAAUCGUAGAUCUGCUUUGUCCGAUCGGAGAAGGAGGCGAUGAAUGCUUCGAUAUGGGGCUAUUUUAGGAUUAUCUCAGGCACUCUAGUAGGUGGAAUUGCCGGAUUCUAUUUUAUGCACCGCGCUGAGCUCAAGUACAAGGAGAUGUGGGAGGAGAGAUUGAGGAAGUACGAAGAAGAGUUGAAUAGGAGAAAGAAGAUUGAAGAGGCGAAUUCAUCGAAUGAGUUUUCUGAAUCUCUGUAAUUUGCUCUUAUUUACAUUUUAGGAUUUUUCUGCCGUGUUUGCAGCUUAUCGAAUCAUGUUUUGAUUUCCAGAAAUUUGAGUAUUUUGUUCUCCUUUUCAUCUUUUUAGUAAAACAAUACUCAUAUAUAAGAUA